AAAUUGAAGAGUUUGAUCAUGGCUCAGAUUGAACGCUGGCGGCAGGCCUAACACAUGCAAGUCGAACGGUAACAGGAAACAGCUUGCUGUUUCGCUGACGAGUGGCGGACGGGUGAGUAAUGUCUGGGAAACUGCCUGAUGGAGGGGGAUAACUACUGGAAACGGUAGCUAAUACCGCAUAACGUCGCAAGACCAAAGAGGGGGACCUUCGGGCCUCUUGCCAUCGGAUGUGCCCAGAUGGGAUUAGCUAGUAGGUGGGGUAACGGCUCACCUAGGCGACGAUCCCUAGCUGGUCUGAGAGGAUGACCAGCCACACUGGAACUGAGACACGGUCCAGACUCCUACGGGAGGCAGCAGUGGGGAAUAUUGCACAAUGGGCGCAAGCCUGAUGCAGCCAUGCCGCGUGUAUGAAGAAGGCCUUCGGGUUGUAAAGUACUUUCAGCGGGGA
rnacentral:rRNA from 1 species